rnacentral:lncRNA from 1 species
UGUAUAACACUUGCUGGUGAGAUUCUUGAGAAAUUCUGAAUUCAGAGCACAGUUCUGUGUCAGCUGUGCUGUGGAUACGGUCUCUCAGCAUCUCCCCGCAGUGCUCGUUCCUGACAGGCUACUGCUAGGCACUGCACUGUGAGUGAUGAGCAGAGGAGGUUGCUCUGACAAGAUGGAGGAACUGAGGCAGGAUUCUCUGCUCCAUGGAUCCACUGUAUGGCAUCUGGAAAGAUAAAAUCCCAACUCCUUGAAAUUGGAUGUCUACUUCUUCAAGUGGCCACCUUGGAAGCCAAGAUUUGGAGAGAUAAUGGUCACAUCUCCUCCAGUGAUGAGCAUUGCUUCGAUCUCGAUAUUAUUACUCGUCUUCCUGCCUUGGGACUUUGAUUCUUUAUAAAAAUUUGCCAAAAUAAUCGGGCCAACCCCUUUUUAGGUUUUUGGUAUUGUCCUUAGAAUUUGACUCAGCAUCAUUUUCUGGUCUCACAAAAUCUGUUUUUAGAGCAGUGUUUAACUGUACCAAGGAGGAGAGCUUUCCCUGCCUGAGAGCCUGCAAUAGGCUCCCCUGAGAGUUUUUUCUUUCUGAUAAGGUGCUGACCUCACUCUUGAUGGUCUGAUUACAUCCUUGUUUUCUGCACUCACAUUUCAAAGGCUAAAGACUGUAUCACUGCCUUUCUCGUUGAUGGCUCUGACACACUCCUUCCCACAGCUGAGGUCAACCUUUGCAGGAAGUAAAGGUUUCCUGUAGACUUUGCUUGACUUGAGGAAAUGGUCCAAGUCUUUACACUGG